rnacentral:rRNA from 1 species
AAUAUUGGACAAUGGGGGCAACCCUGAUCCAGCCAUGCCGCGUGUGUGAAGAAGGUCUUCGGAUUGUAAAGCACUUUAAGGUGGGAGAAAGGGCUUUAGGUUAAUACACUGGAGUUUUGACGUUACCAACAGAAUAAGCACCGUCUACCUCUGUCCCAGCAUCCGCGGUAAUACAGAGGGUGCAAGCUUUAAUUGCAAUUACUGGGCGUAAAGCGCGCGUAGGUGGUUCAGUAAGAUAGGUGUGAAAUCCCCGGGCUUAACCUGGGAACUGCUUUCAUAACUGCUGAGCUAAAGUACGGUAGAGGGUAGUGGAAUUUCCUGUGUAGCGGUGAAAUGCGUAGAUAUAGGAAGGAACACCAGUGGCGAAGGCGACUACCUGGACUGAUACUGACACUGAGGUGCGAAAGCGUGGGGAGCAAAC